rnacentral:tRNA from 1 species
GGGACAGUGGUGGAAUGGCAGACACAGCGGGCUUAAACCCCGCGGCCGCAAGGCGUGCGAGUUCGAAUCUCGCCUGUCCCA